UCUCUUCAGAUCGCAUAAAUCUUUCGCCUUUUACUAAAGAUUUCCGUGGAGAGGAACAAUUCUGAGUUUUUACCCAAUUUUUUGAGGCCUUGCGCUGGCGAGGCUCCCAAGCUCCGUGAAAAGAAAGACUGACUUGGUUUCCUGCUUUUUCUGCUUGUUGCUUAUCUCUGGUUUCUGCAAGCGCCGGCCCAGGUGUGCCCGCAGCUGUAAGGAAAGGAAUCGAUACCCGCUCCAGCGACAUGGAAAGAACUCGAGGGAAUGGUGUGGAGUGAAGUCAAUCAGCAGGACAAAGACAAACAUUGGAUGUUUCCAUAAAUAGCCUCGCCGGGAGCUGUCUGUUCCAGGGCCCUCCUGUCAGAUCACAGGGCUGAAGCCAGAGGGGAAGGACCAAGCCCUUAGGAGGUGCCCAUCAAGGAAACCUCUCAUCCUGUCACCCGAACAUCAACCGAACCUGGCCUGCUGGAAGUUUUACAAUGAAUAGUCACUGAACCAAUGGGGUACCAGAAGCUUCCACCAGCCAAAGUCCAGAGGAGAGGUUUCUGGGAGCGAGGAGUGUCAGACAACAGAUAACUUAUCCAGGGCCAGGCCUUUUGCCCCGCCCUCCGGCCUCUUUUGUGCAGGAGCCGGAGAGCAAUUAACCAUCCGGGCUUGGUUACACCAUAGAGGACGUGGGUGAAGCAGGAGUGUGAAGACCGAAGGAAGGCUGGGCCCCAGGUAAGCCAAGUCUGCAGUCUGGCCUGGCGUUGGCAGC